rnacentral:rRNA from 1 species
UACGUAGGGUGCAAGCGUUUGUCCGGAAUUAUUGGGCGUAAAGAGCUCGUAGGCGGUCUGUCGCGUCUGCUGUGAAAAUCCAGGGCUUAACCCUGGACCUGCAGUGGGUACGGGCAGACUAGAGUGCGGUAGGGGAGAUCGGAAUUCCUGGUGUAGCGGUGAAAUGCGCAGGAAUAUCGAGGAGGAACACCGGUGGCGAAGGCGGAUCUCUGGGCGAUUAACUGACGCUGAGGAGCGAAAGCAUGGGGAGC